GGGGAAUUAGCUCAGCUGGGAGAGCGCUUGGCUGGCAGCCAAGAGGUCAGGGGUUCAAGUCCCCUAUUCUCCACCA
rnacentral:tRNA from 3 species